CUGACGGUACCUGAGGAAUAAGCACCGGCUAACUUCGUGCCAGCAGCCGCGGUAAUACGAAGGGUGCAAGCGUUAAUCGGAAUUACUGGGCGUAAAGGGUGCGUAGGCGGUUGUUUAAGUCUGUCGUGAAAUCCCCGGGCUCAACCUGGGAAUGGCGAUGGAUACUGGGCAGCUAGAGUGUGUCAGAGGAUGGUGGAAUUCCCGGUGUAGCGGUGAAAUGCGUAGAGAUCGGGAGGAACAUCAGUGGCGAAGGCGGCCAUCUGGGACAACACUGACGCUGAAGCACGAAAGCGUGGGGAGCAAACAGGAUUAGAUACCCUGGUAGUCCACGCCCUAAACGAUGCGAACUGGAUGUUGGUCUCAACUCGGAGAUCAGUGUCGAAGCUAACGCGU
rnacentral:rRNA from 1 species